rnacentral:rRNA from 1 species
GCACCACAAGGGGUGAAGCCUGCGGUUCAAUUGGGCUCAACGCCGGGAAACUUACCAGGGGAGACAGCAGUAUGACGGUCAGGUUGACGACCUUACCCGACGAGCUGAGAGGAGGUGCAUGGCCGUCGCCAGUUCGUGCCGUGAGGUAUCCUGUUAAGUCAGGCAACGAACGAGAUCCGCACCUUUAUUUGCCAACAAGAAGUCACGACUUCGUUGGGAACACUAAAGGGACCGCCGUCGAUAAGACGGAGGAAGGAGCGGGCAAAGGCAGGUCAGUAUGCCCCGAAACCCCUGGGCUACACGCGGGCUGCAAUGGUAUGAACAAUGGGCUGUGACUCCGAAAGGAGAAACCAAUCCCGAAAUCAUAUCUCAGUUGGAAUUGUCGGCUGUAACCCGCCGACAUGAACGUGGAAUCCCUAGUAAUCGUGUGUCAUCAUCGCACGGUGAAUACGUCUCUGCUCCUUGCACACACCGCCCGUCGCUCCAUCCGAGUGUGCUAAAAAUGAGGUUUGGUCAAUCUGGUCAUAUCGAGUUUCUAGUAUGCGAGGAGGGAG